rnacentral:misc_RNA from 1 species
UAACCCGUCCUGUGAGCCUGUGGAA